UCCCUGGAGGUCUACUGGUUAGGCCUCUGCAUUCUAAUCGCCGCAGCCUGGCUUCGAUUCCAGCCCAGGGAA